GACAGACCAGCUGCUCCUGCUGCCUGCUCUGCAUUUGGCAUCUGCUCUGCUGAGGGUAUGGCAGCUGCAGCAGGAUUUCCUGUGGGAAGAGGUGCCACUGCUGACAUAGCCCUUGGACUCCAGGGGCCCAUGGCUGUGCCCUCCAGCACAGGGGUGUCACCCACAGCGGGGCACGAGGGGACGGUGAAGGGCAUUAGAAGGGAGAGAAAGCAGCGUCUAGGGACUAUGUGAGGGAAAUGACAAUUUAUUUCCUUUUCCUUGGAUAAAGAAUUGCAUGAGCCCUGCUAGAGCUGCUGGUGGAUUGGCCUCUUGCCGAGGCCCCUCCACUUUUUGGGACACCAUGUGCCCCCCGGGCAAGGGGCCCCUGUUCCAGCCAGGAGCAGAGGUGCUGUGCCUUCUGCCCCGGGCAGAGGGACCUGCUACUGUCACCACCUCUUGCCACAGGUCCUCCUGAUACUGGUCCUGCCCUGCAGGGAUGGGCACAGGUGGGGAGUGGCAGUGAAACCCAGGGCAGGGGCUUUAACAUUGACAGCUCUCAAUGAGUUGUCGAGAAAUCAGUUUUCCUUUUUCUGCCAACCAAGGCUGUCAGUGUUUCUGUGUUUGUAUUAAUGAGAAGGGUUAGGGUUAGGGUAGAGUGUGGGUUUAGGGUUAGGUUAGGGUGUGGGUUUAGGCUUAGGGUUAGGUUAGAGUGUGGGUUUGUGGUUUAAUGGAGAGCAAAGUGGUGUCUGAAUUUUAAUUUUUUCUUUCAUGGUAUUUUGUCUGUGAAAAGUCUGAAAAUCAAGGACAUCUUUUUGGAAUCUGCUAUCUUUGCCCUUGAUCCUAGCCGAGUGACCCUUCAGAACUAAGUGAAAGCAAGAACUCUUUUGGCCAUUUUUUAGAGGGAGAAAAAACCAAGCCCAAACCUGUUUUCUGAAUCCUCUGGAAAAUCUGACUUAUCCAAGAAAACAUGAUUAGGAAUGUAUUGAUUUUCUGUUCUGUCAUUCAUUCAGACACCUGUGAAGUCAGAUCAGUACUGCUCUCUUUAAUGACUUAUGACACAGGUGAUUGCCAUUAAAUCUCUUGAAAUCAUGGCCUCAACUUUCAAUGAUAUUUUGAAUAUGAGACUUUCCAUUUCAGGGAGGAACAGAGUGCAUUUGCACAGUUCCAUUAUGGGUGGGUUUUUUUCACCACACAGAUUCUCUCAUUUCCCGUUCUUUAGCCUUAACCAUUAAAGUAAACCAUCUGCUUUGGAAAUGCAACUCAGAUGUAACUCUUUCUACUAUUUUGCUUAACUUAUUUUUAGAGGCUGAAACUAUUCAGUUGUAAUUUGCUUUAUAGAAUUCUUUGUCACUGUGGGACCAGAAAAAGGUCACAGGAAUUUCUCCCAUCAUUAAUUUAAAAAUAUUUUAAAAUGUUAUUAUAAAGACUAUUUAUCAAUAUUUAAUUUUUGCUUUCUGUGUAAUUUUAUUAAAUCUGUACUUUAAAACAGGAAUUACCUAGCAGGCUUUCAGCUCAAUGACAGCAGUUGCUUUUCAGCAGGCUAAUUUUCCUGUAGGACUAGACAGUAAGGAAAGUAACUUAGGAAAUUGAUUUUUCCACAUUGUUGCAGUGUAGGAAUGGUAUUCCCCAGUUUUGCGUUCCACUGAUACAGCUCAGACCAUGUGCCACUCACUGACUUCCCCACCACUUUUCCUGUGGCAGGAGGAUAGAAGAGCACAAGUAGGUAAAGAUCACAGGUUGAGAUAAGAACAAUUUACUAGAAACAGCAGUGAAAAAAUCCCCGUUUCCAAGGACACGUGGCCAUUGUCACCAGCACAUAGCAGGACUGCUCAGACCCUUCAGCAGCUGUGUUGAGAGCAGAGGUGUCAGAGAGAGAGCGAGUAUUGUUCCAGUUUAGCUGGUUCUAGCACAUGUUGAUUAAGAGGCUGAUCCACACACUGAGUGGAGGUAAUUAUUUACAGUUCUGUGCAGAAAUGGGGGGCUCAGGGAAAUAUUCACAAAGCCAGCACCCCAAGAAGUAGAGUGUCUUAGUAUUUCUACAUUUUAGCAAAGAAAGGAAUUAAUGUUCAUUGACUGCAAGUUCCCUAGUUCUCUUCAUAAUUAGCAUUCUGUCUGCUGUUGGGUAAUGAUCCUCUCACUUCUCAUGUUCAUUAGUCUGCAUGCUCAGUCUCUCCCUUCUUUUAUGUCAAUGGCUUCUGGAGCGCAUGGCCAUGGCCUGCCCCUGCUGGAAUGGCCUUUUACCUCACGGGAGGUGAUUCAGUGCAGUUUCUGCAUUGGCUUUAUCAGUUUGUACUUUUCCUUGGGGCUUCUGCCAAAUGUCCUUGUGCCCCUAAAUCUGCAUUCUUUGUGCCCACCAUCAGUGGUACAUCCUUCUUCCCAAGCCUUGCUAACCUCCCCGGUGUCUGAGGUAGCUGAAGCCUGUCAAGCCCUGCACCCCAACAGGGCCCAAGUCUGCACUGCGUCCCGCAGGGCCCUCAAGAGCCCUGCCGUGCCCGUCAGGGUGACCCAGAGGUCCCAGGACCAAGAGCCAAAUGCCAGCGAGGCAUCACACAAUGGAAGUGCGCAGAAUGUCAACUUGUAUAACCCAGCUGGAGUUGCGUUAACUGUUGGCGAAUUGAUUGAGAGUGGUCAGACAAAUUCUUGCAACACAUGCCUUCAAAUUUUUCACACCCAUGUCGUUGUGCUAGAAGAAGGAAGUCAAUGGCAGCUCUGUUUUGAAGAACUGCAUGACAGGUACCACCUAUAUCAGUGGCAAGCUCACUUAACAUUUUAGAUGGAAUAUUUACUUUCCUGUCCAGCGGACCAAGAUUUUCAAUUGUGUGAGAGCUCGUGCUGAAGCAACUCGUGGGGUGAAAAAUGAGGCUAAUAUUACAGAAGUGUGCCCCACUACAUAUUUCUCAUAUUCUUGAUUGCCCUGUUGUCCUAGGGUGACGUUAUGGUGUUUGUAUAUCCAAUCGUGUGUUCUGUUUACGUUUGAUAUUAUGUUCUGUG